rnacentral:misc_RNA from 1 species
AACCAUUCUCACCUGCGGCUAGACCUGCGGAGGGAUCAUUAAAAAAAUCUUUUUCCCGCGGACCUUUUGUCGUCCAAGGCGCAAAAAGACCCACACCUGUGUGCACUGUUAUCGUUUCUUUGGCAGGGGCUUGGGGGAAUUUUUUUCCCUCAACUUCUCCUUCGGCUCUAUCCUUUCUCUCGGGGAGGAUAGCUGGACAUGGGAAGCAGUUUACCCUGCCAAGUAAACCUCAAAACACGC